ACAAAAGAAGGCCCUUGCAACUUUGAUUCAGAAUCAGGCUGGCUUUGGUCACCAGGUGUGCUCUGGAUGGCUGAGCAGCACACAAAGACAUCUCGUGGUUAAGUGAGCUACUGCAAGUUAAACACUGGUAGGAGAGCUUCCCUGCCCCGGAGUUCUCUGCUCUGUGAUCUGAAAUUCACUGUGUGCAGGUGCAUCAAAGCAUUCUCCAUGUUACAAGAUGGGGAAAGAAUACUUUUACUAAGUAGUCAUUCUGUAACAUUUACACUGAAAGUGUUCUGAUCAAACCUCAAGUUCAAUCUGAGAUCUAAGAAGAGCAAUUAGGUAACAGCAACUCAAAUUCCUGAGGUUUUAAAGAAAUGUUCUGUGCAAAUGGAUGUGUUGGUAUACCUCAUUUUCUUCCCCCCCAAGAAAUUCUGAGAGAGAAAUAAUAAUCUCUGUUCUAUGGCAUGAAAUCAGUAUUUCCUUUGAGAGUUCUGGAAAUUGGAAGCAGUAUUGUGUAGCCAGACAAAAGGCCUAGGAAGAGAAACACAAGUUGCCUGGCCUUCUAGCUAUGUUAUCCAAGAAGGUGAUAAAACAAAAGUGCAGUAAGUGCUUUAAAAAGGUCAUUUUCACACCCCAGCCCCUGCAGAUAGGUAUGUGUACUUAAAUCUCCAAGUUGUUUCCCACCGCUGCCUGGAAGUACUAGCUUUCACCUCGGCUGUGUCUGUGGGAACCCAGCUCACACGUCACCCAGUCUCGUGAGGAUGUGCUAUCAGAUCGAAGAAAGCGUUUCUACAAAAGGUGCAUCUUGCCUCUGUAGGUCCUGACUGUGCCACAGGAUCAAAGGAUGAGCGAGGGAUCUCCGAACAGCUUGUGCUGAGACGGGUCGGGACUUUCCCAGCAAAAUCGAUGUGCGUGCAGCGAGGCUGAACCAUCAUGGAGGUGUCAGCUGAAUGCUGCAGCCUCCCCCCGCCGGCGGGAGACCUCUGAGGCUGGCAGGCAGCUGCUCUCCGAGGUGGUGGUGGACGUUCAGGCAGAUAACUGCUGGUUGGUGUAGACCCGUGGGGGGGCUGCACUGCAGAUGUUCCCAAGAACGGCGUCCGGGAUGUCCUGGCAAAGACCCAGCCUGGGCGUUAUUCCAUUAGUGCCUGUUUUUCCUGGGUGGUCUCUACCUUCCUCUCUCCUGUGGAAGGAAAAAGUUAAGGAAGAGAGGAGCAAGGAAAAGAAUGAAUGGAAAGCAAGUCCCUCUCAGACACUGCUGAGCAGCGCCUGUACCUCCUGCCUCUGACCAGUACGAACAGGCUGUCCUUGUGCCAUCACUGCGCCCCAGCCCACGCCCAUCCUUGCUCCAGGAGGAACUCUUGAGAGGGCUUACUAGCAAAAUCAUAAGGGCUUUAAUCUUCACAUUCCUUGAAAGCUGGAUUUUUGGAAGAAGAGGAAGAAAUUUAA